rnacentral:rRNA from 1 species
GACGAACGCUGGCGGCGUGCCUAAUACAUGCAAGUCGAGCGAAGUUUUUCUGGUGCUUGCACUAGAAAAACUUAGCGGCGAACGGGUGAGUAACACGUAAAGAACCUGCCUCAUAGACGGGGACAACUAUUGGAAACGAUAGCUAAUACCGGAUAACAGCAUAAAUCGCAUGAUAUAUGUUUAAAAGUUGGUUUCGGCUAACACUAUGAGAUGGCUUUGCGGUGCAUUAGCUAGUUGGUGGGGUAAAGGCCUACCAAGGCGACGAUGCAUAGCCGACCUGAGAGGGUGAUCGGCCACACUGGGACUGAGACACGGCCCAGACUCCUACGGGAGGCAGCAGUAGGGAAUCUUCCGCAAUGGGCGAAAGCCUGACGGAGCAACGCCGCGUGAGUGAAGAAGGAUUUCGGUUCGUAAAGCUCUGUUGUUAGGGAAGAAUGAUUGUGUAGUAACUAUACACAGUAGAGACGGUACCUAACCAGAAAGCCACGGCUAACUACGUGCCAGCAGCCGCGGUAAUACGUAGGUGGCAAGCGUUGUCCGGAAUUAUUGGGCGUAAAGCGCGCGCAGGUGGUUUAAUAAGUCUGAUGUGAAAGCCCACGGCUCAACCGUGGAGGGUCAUUGGAAACUGUUAAACUUGAGUGCAGGAGAGAAAAGUGGAAUUCCUAGUGUAGCGGUGAAAUGCGUAGAGAUUAGGAGGAACACCAGUGGGCGAAGGCGGCUUUUUGGCCUGUAACUGACACUGAGGGCGCGAAAGCGUGGGGAGCAACAGG